UACGUAGGGGGCAAGCGUUGUCCGGAUUUAUUGGGCGUAAAGCGCGUGUAGGCGGCUGGGUAGGUCCGCUGUGAAAACUUGAGGCUCAACCUCAAGAGGUCGGUGGAAACCAUCCAGCUAGAGUCCGGAAGAGGAGAAUGGAAUUCCUGGUGUAGCGGUGAAAUGCGUAGAUAUCAGGAAGAACACCCGUGGCGAAGGCGGUUCUCUGGGACGGUACUGACGCUGAGACGCGAAAGCGUGGGGAGCGAACAGG
rnacentral:rRNA from 1 species